AGUUAAUGUGUAUCUUGUAAGGUCAGACAAUUACUUGAUGAGAGGAGACUUGAACAGCCAGCCAUAGCCAAAAUCAUCUUGUUACAAUCUCCAUCAAAGUAUUUUCUAAAUCCCAAACUGCAGAAUAGAGGAGUAUAUUAUCUAGACGGUUCCACUUAAGAGUUCAGGCUCAGCAUCAUGUGGAAGGAAUAUUGAAAGAUUAUCCAAGUUGGGAAAGCCUUGAAGUCUCAAUCCAUUCUCAUUU
rnacentral:lncRNA from 1 species